CCCUCUUUUCUAAAAUAAUGAAUAAUCCCCGGUUUUUCCAUGAAACAAGCCGGCGUAUCAGCAGGUAACGGCAUCAAUAACGCGUCGCGUGUAAACAGAGAACGAACAAAAAAAUCAUUCACGGCCCUUUUCAAACCGGCGUGCUUUUCAUCAGCGCUAUUACAGGUCCCAUUCGCAUUAUCGGAUCGCGCCGCGCUGCAUAACCAAGGUGCUGACAAGCCCUGAUUACCCAAUAACUCCCGCGCUCCUCUCGGGCAGGUUCACCGAGAGGACAGGAACGCGCGGCCUUCCUGCGGGGCAGGCCGCCCGCCAGCCUCCCUCCGGCCCCGCCAGCCCCUGCCUCCCGCUCCUGCGCACCCCGUGGCCGCCCUGGCGCUUCCUGAGAGGGGAACGAGGGGUUUUCUUCUCGAUUGUUUCGGGGAACCAUUUAUUGUGCAUCGGAGGAGGAGGGGGAACGGGACGACGGGACGGCAACGGCCGACAAAGCCGUCCCUCGCCCGGCCAGGCGCUGCAAGGAGGGAGGAGGACGCUCUCGCCAGCUUUCUCUGGGUGCUCGCUAGCCAUCCACCUUCUGCUCUCCCCUUUGCACGCUGCACCUCUUGCAAGAUGGACGGCUUAAAAAAAAAAAUUACAAGCGGUUUCAGCAGUCCUAAGCGUUUCUCGUGUUUGGACCCGACCCCGCUGCAAUCGGAGGCCGGUCGGAGGACGCGCUGGGCGCUCGCUCCUUCUAGCGACUGGGGCUGGAGCGCUAAUGGGAAGCAGCCGCCCAAGUUGGAGGCCAGAUGUGCAGCCAGAGCCGCACCGAAAGGGAGCUGGUGCCAUUAGGACGGGGAUCUAACGCAGGCUAAUUCCCCCUCCAUGUCACUCUCCUAAUUCCUUGCAGACAACUCCUUCUCCGUACCCUAACGAGUACGCACAUAUCAAAGGCAAUCAAGCAAAAUAAACAUUUGCAACAAAUU